GACGAACGCUGGCGGCGUGCUUAACACAUGCAAGUCGAGCGAUGAAGCACCUUCGGGUGUGAAUUAGCGGCGAACGGGUGAGGAACACGUGAAGAAUCUGCCUUCAACUCUGGGAUAACUCCGGGAAACCGGGGCUAAUACCGGAUAUGAGCCUUGAUCGCAUGAUCGGGGCUGGAAAGUUUUUCGGUUGAAGAUGACUUCGCGGCCUAUCAGCUUGUUGGUGAGGUAAUGGCUCACCAAGGCGACGACGGGUAGCCGCCCUGAGAGGGCGACCGGCCACACUGGGACUGAGACACGGCCCAGACUCCGACGGGAGGCAGCAGUGGGGAAUAUUGGGCAAUGGAGGAAACUCUGACCCAGCGACGCCGCGUGAGGGAUGAAGGCCUUCGGGUUGUAAACCUCUUUCAGUAGGGAAGAAGCGAAAGUGACGGUACCUACAGAAGAAGCACCGGCUAACUAUGUGCCAGCAGCCGCCGUAA
rnacentral:rRNA from 1 species